UACGAAGGGGGCUAGCGUUGCUCGGAAUCACUGGGCGUAAAGCGCACGUAGGCGGACUCUUAAGUCGGUGGUGAAAUCCUGGAGCUCAACUCCAGAACUGCCUUCGAUACUGAGAGUCUCGAGUCCGAGAGAGGUGAGUGGAACUGCGAGUGUAGAGGUGAAAUUCGUAGAUAUUCGCAAGAACACCAGUGGCGAAGGCGGCUCACUGGCUCGGUACUGACGCUGAGGUGCGAAAGCGUGGGGAGCGAACAGG
rnacentral:rRNA from 1 species